GCCGGUGUUCUAACGAAACAUUCUACCCAUCGAAAUGAUCCACUUACUGAUACUACGCAUGCGCAGACCAAAAUUACGCAACUUUUCUCGAAGCUUACCAACUGCUUGUCGAUCUGUCCUACCUAGUGUUGAAGUUUGAGGUAAGUGUUACUGUAUUUCAGUAAUAUAUAUGCUUUUCUUAGCCUUACUACAUUAAUGCAUUUAUUACAGUUUACUGCAUAGGUAUUUUUAACUGAUGACAUGGUAUAACGUUAUAAGUUUAAUGCUACGACUUACAAUAAACGGAUGGGUGUAACAUAUACGGUGUAUAUACCAUUCAUGCCAAGUAAUCUGUUGCUUUUGUUGACAUAGUGUGUAAUAAAUAAACUGCUUGCGCCACACUUUUUUCAUUGAGGUCCAAAAUUCACACUACAACAAAGCACUCCCCAUUUCUACUUAUGUAUGGGAGAGAAGCAGUGUUCCCCUCAGAGGUUCCAGUUGACUUGCCGGUGCAGUGUGAUAUGUGCAGUCACUGGGCACAUUUUGAAUGUGCAAAAUACAAUGAAAAAAUUGAAAUAGCAUAUGUUUGUAAAAAAUGUAUGGAUAAAUAAGUAUUGUUCUUUGGUCUUUGUUGUUGGAGUGUUUUAUUGUUCACAAAUGUAUGUAAAUUAAAGCCUUUCUAUUCUUCCUA